UACGUAGGUGGCAAGCGUUGUCCGGAUUUACUGGGCGUAAAGCGCUCGCAGGUGGUUCGAUGCGUCGUGCGUGAAAGACCCCGGCUCAACUGGGGAGGGUCGUGCGAUACGGUCGAACUGGAGGCCAGUAGGGGGAUGCGGAAUUCCGGGUGUAGUGGUGGAAUGCGUAGAGAUCCGGAGGAACACCAGCGGCGAAGGCGGCAUCCUGGACUGGUCCUGACACUCAGGAGCGAAAGCGUGGGGAGCGAUCCGG
rnacentral:rRNA from 1 species